rnacentral:rRNA from 1 species
CCUACGGGAGACAGCAGUGGGGAAUAUUGCCCAAUGGGGGAAACCCUGAUGCAGCGACGCCGCGUGAGUGAAGAAGUAUUUCGGUAUGUAAAGCUCUAUCAGCAGGGACGAAAAUGACGGUACCUGAUUAAGAAGCCCCGGCUAACUACGUGCCAGCAGCCGCGGUAAUACGUAGGGGGCAAGCGUUAUCCGGAUUUACUGGGUGUAAAGGGAGCGUAGACGGCAGCACAAGUCUGGAGUGAAAUGCCGGGGCUUAACCCCGGAACUGCUUUGGAAACUGUGCAGCUAGAGGGCAGGAGAGGUAAGUGGAAUUCCUAGUGUAGCGGUGAAAUGCGUAGAUAUUAGGAGGAACACCAGUGGCGAAGGCGGCUUACUGGACUGUAACUGACGUUGAGGCUCGAAAGCGUGGGGAGCAAACAGGAUUAGAUACCCCAGUAGUC